AAAUUGAAGAGUUUGAUCAUGGCUCAGAUUGAACGCUGGCGGCAGGCCUAACACAUGCAAGUCGAACGGUAACAGGAAGCAGCUUGCUGCUUCGCUGACGAGUGGCGGACGGGUGAGUAAUGUCUGGGAAACUGCCUGAUGGAGGGGGAUAACUACUGGAAACGGUGGCUAAUACCGCAUAACGUCGCAAGACCAAAGAGGGGGACCUUCGGGCCUCUUGCCAUCAGAUGUGCCCAGAUGGGAUUAGCUUGUUGGUGAGGUAACGGCUCACCAAGGCGACGAUCCCUAGCUGGUCUGAGAGGAUGACCAGCCACACUGGAACUGAGACACGGUCCAGACUCCUACGGGAGGCAGCAGUGGGGAAUAUUGCACAAUGGGCGCAAGCCUGAUGCAGCCAUGCCGCGUGUAUGAAGAAGGCCUUCGGGUUGUAAAGUACUUUCAGCGGGGAGGAAGGUGUUGCGGUUAAUAACCGCAGCAAUUGACGUUACCCGCAGAAGAAGCACCGGCUAACUCCGUGCCAGCAGCCGCGGUAAUACGGAGGGUGCAAGCGUUAAUCGGAAUUACUGGGCGUA
rnacentral:rRNA from 2 species